UUUACCUUUCGCCAUCUGGCAG
rnacentral:misc_RNA from 1 species